GCCUGGGAGCCCUUCUGGAUUUUUGUGGAAUGUUUGCUGCUAUUCAAAUAAUUGAGAAAUAAUAAUAUAGAGAAACUAAGUAUUAAAAAUCUGCUGCAGGGAAGAAACCAUAACUGCCAUAAGGCUGUUCCUGUGGUUCCUUCAGAAGAAAUCAGCCUCCCACCACACAUGAGGAAGCGUUUCCCUGCCAAGUCACAGGUUCCAAAGCAUUUUGGCAUCUCCAGAAAACAAACAACCUUCGGAUUGCUUUUAUUUGGGGAGUGCAGAUUGCAGCAUGAGCCACGAUCCAAGUGUGAAACCAGCGCUGCUGCUCGGGGCUGGGCUGUGUUUGAAUCUGAGCUGCUCCUGAAGCUCUGGAUAUCCCUGCAGGAGAGGUGAAGGAAAAAUAGCACUUUGGGAACGUGGGUGGCUGAGAAACUGAAAUCAGACGUGGUUUAUGUGUUGCAAAAUGACUCCAUGGAUCAGGAUUUAAAAAAAACCAAACCAA